UACGUAGGGGGGCAAGCGUUGUCCGGAAUCAUUGGGCGUAAAGAGCGUGUAGGCGGCCAGAUAAGUCCGCUGUGAAAUCUCGAGGCUCAACUUCGAGCUGUCGGUGGAAAACUGUCUGACUAGAGUCCGGAAGAGGAGAAUGGAAUUCCUGGUGUAGCGGUGAAAUGCGCAGAUAUCAGGAAGAACACCCGUGGCGAAGGCGGUUCUCUGGGACGGUACUGACGCUGAGACGCGAAAGCGUGGGGAGCGAACAGG
rnacentral:rRNA from 1 species